ACAGUGGGAAGCCACCUGGCGACAGGGCGCGGAACCCGAAAACCUGUCUCAGUUCGGAUUGGAGUCUGCAACCCGACUCCAUGAAGCUGGAUUCGCUAGUAAUCGCGCAUCAGCCACGGCGCGGUGAAUACGUUCCCGGGCCUUGUACACACCGCCCGUCAAGCCAUGGAAGCCGGGAGUGCCUGAAGUGCGUGACCGCAAGGAGCGUCCUAAGGCAAUACCGGUGACUGGGGCUAAGUCGUAACAAGGUACC
rnacentral:rRNA from 1 species